GUGUAUUUUUAUUUGUAUUUUUUUACUAUAAAUAGCACUGCAUUUGAAAGAGCGGAUCCAGUUUCUACAUUAACUGGGUAGCGGAGGGAAAGUGUCUCACAGAACAGACACAUACACGUGUCUGGAGGGAUCUAUGUCAGGUGAGCACACCCAUUUAUGUGUUAUAGCUCACCAUCAAGUCUUUUAACUCACUACACUUAGAGUAUUUUCUCUACAUUCUUCUCUUUGG